UGACCCGCCCGGAUACAGCGAAUAAACAGUGGGAUUCACGCCCCCUAUGCUCAAGGAAGACGGAGAGACACCAAUUCGUUAGGAACACCCUCGGGAACAUUGAGGAAUUUUUGGGACCGUUCUAGUCAUUCGUUAACAUAAACAAACUUGCGAUCUGUUGCCUCCAAAUUGGCGGUCUGUCCCAGAUCGUUCAUAUCACCCAGGCCCCCCACCCCACAUACACACACUAUUGGUUCCUGGGGUGUGAAGACAGGGGCCGGGGUUAAGAACGUGGAAAAAGGAAGAAAGGAAUUGCACAACUGUAAAUAUUCAGGAUUGUGCAAAACCAAACGGAAGUCGUGGACCACACUGUGCGAAUGAGUGAUUGAUGCCAAAUUCGCUCCUUAAGGGCAGUAUGGGUGUGUGUCCCCUGCUCCUGCUGCUCAGUGUGGCCCUCGGGGUCUCUGUCUCAGCCCAGGGACCAUCUCUCA